GAUGAACGCUGGCGGCGUGCCUAAUACAUGCAAGUCGAGCGAACGGACGAGAAGCUUGCUUCUCUGAUGUUAGCGGCGGACGGGUGAGUAACACGUGGAUAACCUACCUAUAAGACUGGGAUAACUUCGGGAAACCGGAGCUAAUACCGGAUAAUAUUUUGAACCGCAUGGUUCAAAAGUGAAAGACGGUCUUGCUGUAACUUAUAGAUGGAUCCGCGCUGCAUUAGCUAGUUGGUAAGGUAACGGCUUACCAAGGCAACGAUGCAUAGCCGACCUGAGAGGUUGAUCGCCCACACUGGAACUGAGACCCGGUCCAGACUCCUACGGGAGGCAGCAGUAGGGAAUCUUCCGCAAUGGCCGAAAGCCUGACGGAGCAACGCCGCGUGAUUGAUGAAGGUCUUCGGAUCUUAAAACUCUGUUAUUAGGGAAGAACAUAUGUGUAAGUAACUGUGCACAUCUUGUCGGUACCUAAUCAGAAAGCCACGGCUAACUACGUG
rnacentral:rRNA from 1 species